AGACCAAUUAAGGACUAAUUUAUGACUAACUCCUCAGCUGUAUUGAAGAGGAAACAAUAAAAUGGGCUGAGCCUAAAGAAGGUAGCUUUUAAUUUAAGGGCCAAUAGCCUUUCAAAACUUAAAUAAUAUCGAUGCCCCAUUUGCAUUCCAUUUUAUCCCUCUCGUCUACUAAAUCCCAUCUGAAAAAUAUUGGAGGACAAAAUAGAAAAAUUAGGAUGACAUUUUCUGGCAAGAACAUUGUUGGAAUUUUUCCUUCUUUUUUUGUAUUGAUUGAACAAAAUGUAGAAAGACCAGAAAAAUAUGAAAGCAUGGAAGCAUCUGAUGCCUAAUAGAAAUGAAUGCACUGCAAAAGAUAAUUUAGUGCAAAAUUGCUAUUUUUAAAAGAUCAUGUAUGGAGCUGAGGUCAGAAAGAUGUGGAGCUGUUUUGUGCUGGAGCUGAAAUGACGGUACGGAUGCUCAGCGCCUUGGGAAGUGGUUUGGAAGCCAAGUUACAGCCGAGCUGUUCAAGGGAUAGAAUGGGAGCUGGGGAGGAGAACCCUGCUGCUGCCGCCACUCUUGCGUGAGAUUCUUCUGCGUUCCAAAAACCAACAUGGACUGGAAUGGCUUUUUGAAAAGAAGAGAUUCCCCCCUCCAUGCUCCUCUGAUGCCUUGGCCACACAAGUAGAGAGAGCCCGUGUCUUACAAAUAAAAUGUACCAAAAAGUACGGGAAAUAAAGACGGUUUGAGGAUUUG